rnacentral:rRNA from 1 species
UAACACGUAGGGACCGAGCGUUGUCCGGAUUUAUUGGGCGUAAAGAGCUCGUAGGCGGUUCAGCAAGUCGGGUGUGAAAACUCUGGGCUCAACCCAGAGACGCCACCCGAUACUGCUGUGACUAGAGUCCGGUAGGGGAGUGGGGAAUUCCUGGUGUAGCGGUGAAAUGCGCAGAUAUCAGGAGGAACACCGGUGGCGAAGGCGCCACUCUGGGCCGGCACUGACGCUGAGGAGCGAAAGCGUGGGUAGCAAACAGGAUUAGAUACCCUGGUAGUCCACGCCGUAAACGGUGGGCACUAGGUGUGGGUCCUUAUCAACGGGAUCCGUGCCGUCGCUAACGCAUUAAGUGCCCCGCCUGGGGAGUACGGCCGCAAGGCUA